rnacentral:tRNA from 1 species
CAGAAAAUAGUUUUAUAUAAAAUAUUAAUUUUGGAGAUUAAAGUUGAGUAGUUUCUUUUCUGA